CACGUAGGGGGCAAGCGUUGUCCGGAUUUAUUGGGCGUAAAGAGCUCGUAGGCGGCUCAGUAAGUCGGGUGUGAAACCUCCAGGCUCAACCUGGAGACGCCACCUGAUACUGCUGUGGCUAGAGUCCGGUAGGGGAGCGUGGAAUUCCUGGUGUAGCGGUGAAAUGCGCAGAUAUCAGGAAGAACACCCGUGGCUAAGGCGGCUCUCUAGUACGGUACUGACGCUGAGACGCGAAAGCGUGGGGAGCAAACAGG
rnacentral:rRNA from 1 species